GACGAACGCUGGCGGCGUGCUUAACACAUGCAAGUCGAACGGUGAAGCGAGUGCUUGCACUCGUGGAUCAGUGGCGAACGGGUGAGUAACACGUGAGUAACCUGCCCAUCACUCUGGGAUAAGCACUGGAAACGGUGUCUAAUACUGGAUACGACCAACCCUUGCAUGGGGUGUUGGUGGAAAGAUUUAUCGGUGAUGGAUGGACUCGCGGCCUAUCAGCUUGUUGGCGGGGUAAUGGCCCACCAAGGCGACGACGGGUAGCCGGCCUGAGAGGGUGACCGGCCACACUGGGACUGAGACACGGCCCAGACUCCUACGGGAGGCAGCAGUGGGGAAUAUUGCACAAUGGGCGAAAGCCUGAUGCAGCGACGCCGCGUGAGGGAUGACGGCCUUCGGGUUGUAAACCUCUUUCAGCAGGGAAGAAGCGAAAGUGACGGUACCUGCAGAAGAAGCGCCGGCUAACUACGUG
rnacentral:rRNA from 1 species